UCCCUGGUGGCUCAGUGGUAAAGAAUCUGCCUGCAAUGUAGGAGACCCAGGUUCGAUCCCUGGGUUGGGAA
rnacentral:tRNA from 1 species